ACAACUUUUAACAACAGAUCUCUUAGUUCUAGCAUUAAUAAAGAACGUAGCGAAAUGCAAUAAGUAGUGUGAAUUGUAGAAUUUAGUAAAUUAUUAAAUCUUUAAACGCACAUUGCGCCCCUUAGUAUUCUAUAGGGCAUGCCUGUUUAAGCGUUAUUUGUACCCUUAAGCUCUACUUAGUGUUAGGUGUUUGUUCUACUUAGGACUUGCCUUAAAACAAUUAGUAGCUAGCACAUUAGCCUAAAGCGCAGCACAUUUUACGCCUCUUGUUAUAGUUGUUAGCAUCUAUUAAGAUACUUUUUAAGCUCUUAACCUUAGAUUAGGUAGGGAUACCCGCUAAACUUAAGCAUAUUAAUAAGCGGAGGAAAAGAAACUAACAGGGAUUGCCCUAGUAAUGGCGAGUAAAGCGGCAACAGCUUAAAUUUGAAAUCUAGCUCUUUUAGGGUCUAAGUUGUAAUUUGCAGAGGGCGCUUUAGCGUUAGCAGUAGUCUAAGUUCCUUAGAAUAGGACGUUAUAGAGGGUAAGAAUCCUGUAUGUAGUUGCUAGCCUUCGCUGUGUAAAGCCCCUUUAACGAGUCAAGUUAUUUAGGAAUGCAGCUCUAAAUAGGAGGUAAAUUUCUUCUAAAGCUAAAUACUAGCUAGAGACCAAUAGCGCACAAGUAGAGUGAUUAAAAGAUAAAAAGCACUUUAGAAAGAGAGUUAAAUAGCACGUGAAAUUGUUAAAAGGGAAGCGCUUGUAGCUAGACUUACCUAUAGUUGCUUAUCUAGGCUUUUGUCUAGUGCACUCUUCUAUAGGCAGGCUAGCAUUAGUUUAGGCAGUUAGAUAAAGGUCUCUAUUACGUACCUCCCUUUAGGGAGGCCUUAUAGGGGAGACGACAUGCAACUAGCCUAGACUAAGGUCCGCGCAUCUACUAGGAUGCUAGCGUAAUAGCUGUAAGCGGCCCGUCUUAAAAUAUAGACUAAGGAGUCUAACAUCUAUAUAAGUGUUUAGGUGUUAAGCCUAGACGCGUAAUAAAAGUAAACAGAGGUAGGAACCCUUUUAGGGUGCACUAUUAACUAAUCCUAAUAUCUUUAGAAGGAUUUAAGUAAGAGCAUAGCUAUUAGGACCUAAAAGAUAGUGAACUAUGCUUAAAUAGGGUAAAGCUAGAGGAAACUCUAGUAGAGGCUCGCAGCGGUUCUAACGUGCAAAUUAAUUGUUAAAUUUAGGCAUAGGGGCGAAAGACUAAUUAAACUAUCUAGUAGCUAGUUCCUACUAAAGUUUCCCUUAGGAUAGCAGUAACGUAUUUAGUUUUAUAAGGUAAAGCAAAUAAUUAGAGGCCUAGGGGUUAAAACAACCUUUACCUAUUCUUAAACUUUAAAUAUAUAAGAAGUCCUUAUUACUUAAUUAAAUAUAGACACUUAAAUGUACUAUUACUAGUAGGCUAUUUUUAGUAAGUAGAACUAGUAAUGCAGGAUAAACUAAACAUAGGGUUAAGGUACUAGAAUGCACGCUUAUUAGACACUACAAAAGGUGUUAGUUUAUCUAGACAGUAGGACAGUAGCUAUAGAAGUUAGAAUCUACUAAGGAGUGUAUAAUAACUUACCUGCUAAAUAAACUAGCCCUAAAAAUAGAUAGCGCUUAAGCGUGUUACCUAUACCCCGCCACCAGGGCAAGAUUUAAGCCCUAGUAAGUAGGCAGGCGUAGAGGCUUGUAAUAAAGCCUUAGGGGUAACCCUAGGUAGAAUAGCCUCUAGUAUAGAUCUUAGUAGUAGUAGCAAAUACUUAAAUAAGAACUUUAAGGACUAAAGUAGAGAAAGGUUCUAUAUAAAUAGCAGUUAGACACAGGUUAGUUAAUCCUAAGAGAUAGGGUAAUUCUAUUUUAAUAUUAGUGCUUACGCCCUGCCCUUAAAACGGAAGCUAGUUAAUAUUCUAGCACCUAGAUAUAGAUUCUCUGUAGCAACACAACUAAGAGCAGAGACCUUAGCAGGAGCCCUAAGAAGAGUUCUCUUUUCUUCUUAAUAGUCUAUUACCCUAAAAUUAGUUUAUCUAGAGCUAGGGUUUAAUAGCUAGAAGAGCGCUAUACUUUUAUAGUAUUUAGUGCGCUCCUAAUAAGCCUUAAAAAUCUACUUAAAGAAAUAGUUUUUACGCUAGGUUAUACUUAUAACUAUAGUAGGUCUUUAAGGUAAAAAGCCUCUAGUUAAUAGAAUAAUAUAGAUAAGGGAAGUUAGCAAAAUACAUCUGUAACUUUAGGAAAAGGAUUAGCUCUAAGGGUUAGGUACGUUAGGCCUUAGGGAGAAGCCUCUAGCGUAGAAGGGCACUAACUGCAAGGUAGGCGCCUCUUAGCGCUAGGGUGCAGACACCCUUAGCAGGUUUUAGCUAUCUAGCGUAUAUUUAACAACUAACUUAGAACUAGUAUAGAUAAGGGGAAUCUAACUAUCUAAUUAAAAUAUAGUAUUGCAAUAGCUAGAAAGUAGUAUUAAUAUAAUAUAAUUUCUUGUUGCAGGAGGGAUAUUAACCGGAUCACGGAGCAUCUUGAUCCAAUCAAUCCCAAUCAAUACCCCUGUAUAACCCACUAUCUAAUCAACUGCUAGCUUACUGCUAAGUGCCUAAUAAAAAGCAGGAGCUCUAGUAAGGAAGGUUUACUAAUUAUUCACCUUCUAGUAAGGGUAGCUAAAGCUCUGGAUAUAUAAGUCUGAUUAUAGUAGAUAUAAUCUAAUAAUCUAUCUCCUAAAUUAUUCCUAACCUUAGUAAUCUAAAUUUCCACAGUUAUAAGCCUGGUUCGUGCUUUACCUUAUUAAGGAUUAUCCUAUCCAUUUAAGCGUAUUGUUUAACUUAGAUACUAAGCUAGCAAGCUUUACUCUUUAUACUAUUUCUUAAGCAGAAGCUUACUUAUUACUCUUCCACUAUAAGCGACUAAAUCCUAAAGGGGGAUAUCCUACUUACUAGAUUAACUAACUGGCCUACCUAGUAUAUUUAAUUUAGAUACCAUGCCCUAACUAAAGGGAUCUAGGCAGAGGUAGACCCUAAUACUUAGGAUGCUAAAAACCACUUUAAGAAUAAACUAAUCAAGCCUAGUAUGCCAACAGGUAGUGCGCUAUCUAACAUAACAAGCAAGCAGUAUAAACUCUAAAUAGCCUAGUACUAAGCUUGCUUAUUAGAUUAGGUAUUAAAGUUAUUAGUAAUCUAGAACCUUUUUAUAUAGGUUAAUAAUAUAGUAGAUUAAGGGAUCCUUACCCUAGCCUAUAUAGAGCUUAUUAAUUAAGGAAGAGUAACCCUUUAAGCACUUAUCUAAGUACUCUAUAAUAACCUAGCGCUAACUAAUUUAAGCGCUGUAACACUAGCAAGAUUAUAGUAUAAAGCUUAUCUUACUAAGGCAAAGAUAAGUAGCUAAGACACUAAUUACUAGUAGAAGGAGUAGAUAAUCC
rnacentral:rRNA from 1 species